AAUAUAGGCCCAAGAAAAUGAUAAGUUUAUAAGUUUUAAUUUUCGUAAGUAAAGGAAGUACAAUUAGUGAUGCACAGUGCAUUUCGUCAAAAACGGUGCAAAAACCAUACUGUGAAUUAUGAAUAUUGUUCCUUAGGAAAUAAAAAAUUAAUGUAAAUGAUUUUAGGAAAUAAAAAAUAUGUUUGUAGCUUUGAGUUAGUUCCGGGUCAAUUUAAGUUAAAAUACGCGAUAAAAAAACAUCCGAUGAAAAUGGCCACAUGUGCCUAUAUAGCCUUGUCACUUAAAUGAAACACUAUUCAUUUCAGAUUUUCUUCUUCUCUCUCUUGCAUGGCCGAGCUGCACAUGGAGGGGAAGGGGCUAGGGUUUCAAAUUUUCCUUCUUUGAUUUCUUCAUCAUCCAUCCACCAAAUCCAAUGACCCACCACAUGAAAUUGAUUGGAAACCACUCAAUGAAUCCAUUCCACCUAUCCAUUUGAGCUAUAGUUGAGUGUGUGAAGAGUUAUUCCUCCUCUCAUUUUCGAGUUACUAUUCACUGGAGGAGAAAAAGUGAGUUUUUGGAUGGAGCUUGGCUUGGAGAUUGCUCUCUAGGCUUUCUACAAGUGUUUAGAGGUGUGCCUAGGGAUUGAGAAGGAUCGGAAAUCUCUUGAAGCGAUAAAAGUAACUUGUUCCACAAGUAAGCGUAUUGGUAAAGCUUCAAGAGGGGCCCAGAUUUCCGGUGAGUCCUCACUAGGCAGGGACACGACACGUGGCUGAGGCAGUUGACAGACCGGAUUUUGAGUGGCUGUAGGCUACUACCUUUUUGGAGUGUUUGAUGGAUUUUAGUAUUUUCGCAUUUGAUGGAUCAUGAUAUUGAUCCUUUAUUUUGUAUAUGGCCUGUAUAUGUUUUGUACAUGUCUAUCAGUUUGAUGCAUGUACAUUUGAGUAUUCAGGAACGUUAUAUGAUGAUGUAGUAUUCAGAUAGGUUUAUGUUUUGAUGGCAUGCUGUUAG